rnacentral:rRNA from 1 species
AUUGAACGCUGGCGGCAGGCCUAACACAUGCAAGUCGAGCGGAGCGGCGGACGGGUGAGUAAUGCCUAGGAAUCUGCCGGGUAGUGGGGGAUAACGUCCGGAAACGGGCGCUAAUACCGCAUACUAUCAGAUGAGCCUAGGUCGGAUUAGCUAGUUGGUGGGGUAAAGGACUACCAAGGCGACGAUCCGUAACUGGUCUGAGAGGAGGAUCAGUCACACUGGAACGGAGACACGGUCCAGACUCCUACGGGAGGCAGCAUUGGGGAAGAUUGGACAAUGGGCGAAAGCCUGUUCCAGCCAUGCCGCGUGUGUGAAGAAGUUCUUCGGAUUGUAAAGCACUGUAAGUUGGGAGGCGUUACCAACAGAAUAAGCACCGGCUAACUUCGUGCCAGCCGCCGCGGUAAUAC